GCCGACGGUCAUAGGGACGGGGGAAACACCCGGACUCAUUCCGAACCCGGAAGUUAAGCCCCGUUCCGUUCCGCGUAGUACUGUGUUCCGAGAGGGCACGGGAAUCGCGGAAACCGUCGGCU
rnacentral:rRNA from 1 species